AUUGAACGCUGGCGGCAUGCCUUACACAUGCAAGUCGAACGGCAGCGGGGGAGAAGCUUGCUUUUCCUGCCGGCGAGUGGCGAACGGGUGAGUAAUACAUCGGAACGUGCCCUGUAGUGGGGGAUAACUAGUCGAAAGAUUGGCUAAUACCGCAUACAACCUGAGGGUGAAAGUGGGGGACCGCAAGGCCUCAUGCUCUAGGAGCGGCCGAUGUCUGAUUAGCUAGUUGGUGGGGUAAAGGCCUACCAAGGCGACGAUCAGUAGCUGGUCUGAGAGGACGAUCAGCCACACUGGGACUGAGACACGGCCCAGACUCCUACGGGAGGCAGCAGUGGGGAAUUUUGGACAAUGGGCGAAAGCCUGAUCCAGCAAUGCCGCGUGUGUGAAGAAGGCCUUCGGGUUGUAAAGCACUUUUGUCCGGAAAGAAAUGGCUCUGGUUAAUACCUGGGGUCGAUGACGGUACCGGAAGAAUAAGGACCGGCUAACUACGUGCCAGCAGCCGCCGUAA
rnacentral:rRNA from 1 species